rnacentral:rRNA from 1 species
UUUAUUUAGAGAGUUUGAUCCUGGCUCAGGAUGAACGCUGGCGGCGUGCUUAACACAUGCAAGUCGAACGAAGCACUUUG